UUCUAAUGGAGGAUGGCAAUCUUGCAGAACUGAAAAGAAAUGGCUUGGUUCCCCAAACAUUCAAAUUCUAACACCAACACUAAACUGGAAAGGUUGAGUCCCAAUGGCUUCUGAGUUUAUACAUUGUUUCUGCUUCCACUUCAACUCUCUAUCUCGUCAUUUUCCUUCUUCGGUUAUGGAAAAAUAUAUCAAUUGUUGAGGUUGCUCCAAAAGAGAUUGUUAGUUCUGGAUGGAUUUUUCAGUGGAACGCCAAAGUCCCUGAGGAGAACUAUAUGUCCUGGUUCAAAGCAUGGCAACAAAUGGAACUCUUUAAAGUGCCUUCUGCAAAUUUUCAAGCCUCCUCACCCGUACUAGUAGGAAUCCCUGAGAUAGUAAAAAACCAUAAAAGUCUUGGGAACUAUAAGAGAAAUGUAUAAUAACUGGAUAAUUCCAAUUAUACCUCAUCUUCUCUUUGAACAUUGAAACCUCAGUCCUAAGACAAAACGUACAGAAGGCAGCAACGGUGGGUUGGAAUCUUGCAAAUCCAAGGCAUCCAAGAAAGCAGAGGGAACAUAUAUUCG
rnacentral:lncRNA from 1 species